GACGAGUCGGCGAGACCGGCGUCGCCGUCUGCAAAGUCGCGGCUGUUCCCGGCCAAGGUCAAGGGGAGGGUGGGACCCGUUUCUGCGGCGGUGGCGAGCGCGGCUCGUCCGCCUCGCCGCCGUCUUCGUCGCUGCGGCCCUCAUCCUGACAGCUUCGGCCAAGAAGUCCGGAGAUGUCACGGAGCUUCAGAUCGGUGUGAAGACAAGCUCGAUUUGUACCAGGUGUCUCCGCCACCACAUCGCCGCCGCCGCAUCCCCGGCCGGCCGUCGGACCUCCUCACCCCAGCGACCUCCUGCCCACCGUCGGCCUGCCUGCCCAAUCAGAGAAGGGCGAGAGAGAGAGAGAGAGAGAGAGAGAGGGGGAGGAGGAAAGGAGAGGAAGGGAGAGCCGGAGAGGCGCUUGCUGACUUGGCAUCCUGAUAUGUGGGUCUCACGCUGAUUUAGCCGCCACGUUAUAUAAAACCAGGCUUAAAACCGCCGAGGGACCUAGUUUGCACUGGUUUUAUAAGUUGGAGGAUGUGUUGUAUCCGGUUUUGUGGUUGGGGGAUGAUUCUGUAACUUGAUGAUAAAUUGAGGGACCUUCAGUGUACUUUUUCCAUGCUAGGGCGUAUUUUGGUGGUGUUUGGAUCCAUAAGUCCUAGGGACUUAUUUUAGUUCUAGGACUAAUCACUUUAGUCUAUGGCUGUUUGGUUAUAGAGACUAAAAGGGACUAAAGUUCAUUAAAUGCGCUACACAAUGACCAUGUUACCCUUAAAACUAUGUAAAGAUAAAUGCACCAUG